GAUGAACGCUGGCGGCGUGCCUAAUACAUGCAAGUCGAGCGAACGGACGAGAAGCUUGCUUCUCUGAUGUUAGCGGCGGACGGGUGAGUAACACGUGGAUAACCUACCUAUAAGACUGGGAUAACUUCGGGAAACCGUAGCUAAUACCGGAUAAUAUUUUGAACCGCAUGGUUCAAAAGUGAAAGACGGUCUUGCUGUCACUUAUAGAUGGAUCCGCGCUGCAUUAGCUAGUUGGUAAGGUAACGGCUUACCAAGGCAACGAUGCAUAGCCGACCUGAGAGGGGGAGCGGCACCGCUGGAACUGGGACACGGGCCAGACUCCUACGGGAGGCAGCAGUAGGGAAUGUGCCGCAAUGGGCGAAAGCAUGACGGAGCAACGACGCGUGAGUGAUGAAGGUCUUCGGAUCGUAAAACUCUGUUAUUAGGGAAGAACAUAUGUGUAAGUAACUGUGCACAUCUGGACGGUACCUAAUCAGAAAGCCACGGCUAACUACG
rnacentral:rRNA from 1 species